rnacentral:misc_RNA from 1 species
GUGGGCAGUGUCUGAAGGUAAAGUAAAUCCAUUCCGUGGCACAUUCCAAGAUUACAAGAAGAUACUGCAGUCUUCGUAGAGGAGCUUAGCGGUUUGGUUUUAAAAUGCAUUGGGUUCCAUCUGGUUGUGAGAUAGUUUUAAUAUAUAAUCUGUGCGCUUGAAGAGUUUCAAUAAUUUUGGAAUUUUAUAUAUGUAUACACAAACAGGCACGAAAUUUUCCGGGAAAAAAAAUGCCAUUUUGGAAG